rnacentral:tRNA from 1 species
GUCCCAGUAGCUCAGCGGAUAGAGCAACGGCCUUCUAAGCCGUGGGCCGGGGGUUCGAAUCCCUCCUGGGACGCCA